AUCUGGGCAUCCACAAAGCAUGAGCUUUGUGGAAAUGUUUCCCUGGCCUGGGGCACAUAGAAGAAUGCAGUGACAGGGCGGGAUUUGUGUAAAUCCUCCAGUAAGAACACAAGUGACACUUUCUUGCUGACCAGGAGACCGGAGAUCAGGCAUGUGAUGAGCACCAGGAGUCCCACAAAGCAGGUGAGGAUUUUGCCCCAGGAGGGGAGGUCUGGGGAGACAAGUGCUAGGUUGAGCCACCUCUGGUUACUCCCCUAGGCUCCUACUGUGCCGUCACUGUGCUCCACAGUUCUUGACACUGGGUUCACCAGCUUUCAUCAUCAUCCAAGACCCUGGGUGCAUGGUUCUCUUUGAUGAGGCACAGCAUCAAGAUAUUCCUUCCCUCCCACCCUGGGCUGGGGCUUCCUUGAGGCUUCCCAGAACUCUCUGUCAAGGAAUCAUUUCUGUGAGGAGAGUACCCUGGAAGUCAAUGAAAUCGAGAAUACAUGUGUGUUUUACAUUUUUAAAUAAAAAUUUUCAAACACACAGAAAAGCAGGACAAUAUCAGAAACAUCCAUCACCUAGAUUUAACAAC
rnacentral:lncRNA from 1 species